CCGCACAAGCGGUGGAGCAUGUGGUUUAAUUCGAAGCAACGCGAAGAACCUUACCAGGUCUUGACACUCCCCUGACAACCCGAGAGAUCGGGCGUUCCCCCGUUCGGGGGGACAGGGUGACAGGUGGUGCAUGGUUGUCGUCAGCUCGUGUCGUGAGAUGUUGGGUUAAGUCCCGCAACGAGCGCAACCCUCGACCUUAGUUGCCAGCAUUCAGUUGGGCACUCUAAGGUGACUGCCGGCUAAAAGUCGGAGGAAGGUGGGGAUGACGUCAAAUCAUCAUGCCCCUUAUGACCUGGGCUACACACGUGCUACAAUGGGCGGUACAAAGGGUCGCGAACCCGCGAGGGGGAGCCAAUCCCAAAAAGCCGCUCUCAGUUCGGAUUGCAGGCUGCAACUCGCCUGCAUGAAGUCGGAAUCGCUAGUAAUCGCGGAUCAGCACGCCGCGGUGAAUACGUUCCCGGGCCUU
rnacentral:rRNA from 1 species